rnacentral:tRNA from 1 species
CUGCUACGUCGAGCACGCCGGCAACCGCACGGCCUCCCCCGAGGAGGCCCGGCAGGUCGUGGCGCUGGCCCGGGAGUUCGUGGGCACCCCGUGGCGGGCC